rnacentral:piRNA from 1 species
GCCAUACUGUGGGGAUAAGAUCAAGAC